rnacentral:misc_RNA from 1 species
GAAAUGCGAUAAUUAAUGUGAAUUGCAGAAUUCAGUGAAUCAUCGAGUCUUUGAACGCACAUUGCGCCCCCUGGUAUUCCGGGGGGCAUGCCUGUCCGAGCGUCAUUGCUGCCCUCAAGCACGGCUUGUGUGUUGGGCUUCCGUCCCUGGCAACGGGGACGGGCCCAAAAGGCAGUGGCGGCACCAUGUCUGGUCCUCGAGCGUAUGGGGCUUUGUCACCCGCUCCCGAGGUCCAGCUGGCAGCUAGCCUCGCAACCAAUCUUUUUAACCAGGUUGACCUCGGAUCAGGUAGGGAUACCCGCUGAACUUAAGC